GGCCGCCUGGCGAAAUGGCAUCGCGUCUGACUACGAUAUGUAAUCAGGAGAUUGCAGGUUCGACCCCUGCGGUGGUCA
rnacentral:tRNA from 1 species